GACGAACGCUGGCGGCGUGCUUAACACAUGCAAGUCGAACGGAAAGGCCCUGCUUUCGUGGGGUGCUCGAGUGGCGAACGGGUGAGUAACACGUGAGUAACCUGCCCUUCACUUUGGGAUAACUUCACGAAACUGGGGCUACUACCGGAUAGGAGAUCCUGCUGCAUGGUGGGCGUUGGAAAGUCUCGGCGGUUGGGGAUGGACUCGCGGCUUAUCAGCUUGCUGGUGGGGUAGUUGCUUACCAAGGCAUUGACGGAUCGGCGGCAUGAGAGGGUGAACGGGGACAUUGGGACUGAGGGACGGAGCAGACGCCUACGGGAGGCAGCAGUGGGGAAUAUUGCACAAUGGGCGGAAGCGUGAUGCAGCGGCGCCGGGUGCGGGAUGACGGCCUUCGGGGUGUAAACCGCUUUCGCCUGUGACGAAGCGUGAGUGACGGUAAUGGAUGAAGAAGCACCGGCUAACUACGUG
rnacentral:rRNA from 1 species